AUUGGUGGGAAUGCAAAAAUGGUGCAUCCACUAUGAAAAACAGUGUGGAGAGUCCUCAAAAAAUUAAAAAUAGAACUGCAUAUGAUCAAUCUCAGCACAAGACAAAUACUGCAUGAUGCCACUUGUAUGAGGUAUCUAAAAUAUUAACACUCAUAAAAUAGAAUGUUAUUGCCAGGGCUGGGGGGAGGAGAAAUGAGGAGUUACUAAUCAAUGGGCAUAAAGUCUUAAGAUUAAUAAAUUCUAAAGAUUUGCUGUCAAAAUUGUCUCUAUAGUUUACAGUACUGUAUUUUAUACUUAAAAAUUUGUUAAGAGGAUAGAUCUUAUAUAUUAAGAGGUCUUACUGCAAUAAAAAAGAAAGGAAAAAAGUAACAAACUUUUACCUGAUCAUACAGCUCAAAAGCCUUAUUGAACUCUUUCCCACACAUUUUGAUUCCCUAAAGACAGAGAAGAGAGUAAAUGUUAAAAUGUUAUUACUAUGUUUCCGUAUGUUUCCCUUGACAAGUCUCCCACAGUCUAGCUUUUCAAGGAAAAAUUAUUUAAGGUACUAAAAAGUUAAGUACCUGGAAUUUAAGAAGAAAAUUCUCCUGCACUGGUAGUAACCUUUUGAGAGAAAAACAUUAUAUUAAUAUAUUACAUUUUUUGAAAAGGAUCCACUUAUAACAUUUUUCAUGGUUCCUAAACUCACCUGGCCAUCUCAGUUAAUUCCAGCUUCCCAUCAUUAUUUGAAUCAAAUAGUUUCAGCUGAAAGACAGAAUGCCAUUAUUCUAGCUAUUUGAGGAAUAAUUUAUUGCAUGAAGGAGAUGAACUUCAAAAUAAAGCUGUUUGAGUUAUCAACUACUUGUAUAUAUAUAUAGUAAAAUUUUAAAAACUAACGUUUUUAAAACUUUCAAUGCAAAUUUCCAAUUCUGUAAUGUGUCAAUUGCUAGAGUUUAUCAGAAUAAUAUAGAAUAGUCAAAAAGAGAAAUAGUGGUUUUAGCUAUGUUUCUAGAAUACUGUCACUUUUUUAUUGCAAAUACGUUUAUAUGUGUAUCAAGAUGUGGGAGGGAUGGUGUCUGACAGUUUUUGCACUUCUGGAGUGUCUCCAAUAAGAAAAUAAAUAUUUAUUUCACCCUUUUAGAGCAUAGAAUAGCACAAACAGAAGCAGAAAACAGAUAACAAAUAAAUCCUUAGAGAAUAUAAUUUUUGAAUAAUUUUGAAUUGUUUUAUUUUCUAUUGGGCAUUAGAAACUCCAUAAAGCUCUCCAACUCUCCAUUGCACUUAUGUAUACAUCAUUCACAAAGACACAUCCAGAUGUAAACACUCAUACCCGUAUUUGGGAAGCUUUCAUCUUUUUAGACAGUAGCAACUAUUGCUAUAAUGUGUUAUACCAAAGUAGUAUAUAUGAAUUACAUUAAAUAUAUAAAAUGUGUAUACUAAAUGAACAUUAAAUAUGUGAAAAAUUAGCAUUAUUUUUGUUUUAAAAGAACAGAAUGUGUCCAGUGCUAUAAUGGAUACAGAUUUAGUGACAUCUUUUUAAGGAGGAAAGGAAAGGCAUUCUAUGGUUUGAGAUGUUCUAAGAAUCUUUUGUAGGAGGCAGAUUUUUUCAGGGUCCCAUGCUGACAAAACAUUUUAUAAUCCAUUGACCAUAAAUUCUGAUAUUGUCACACUAUCAAGAUGCUGGACAGCUCAAUCACUUAGUUUUGUGCCCAUGGGGAAAUAUUUCCCAACAUAUAUAUUUAAAUUUUAAUUAGCUCUUGAUUAAUUUGCUUCCUGGAUUUGAACUGGUUUAUGACAUUUAAUCAGAUAUGUCAGGCCAAUCCAACAGAGGAAAACUCCCAUCUGAGUGGAUUUUGAAAGGCUGCUUCAAUAUUGUACCUGGAAAGGUGCCUUUCUUUAAAUAGGUAUCCCUUAAGAUUGGAACAAAAUAGAAAAUUGAUAAAUGUAGGUUAUUGUCCAUUACCCAAAAGUUAUUCAGAGCUUAGACCUGCUGAUUGUGACACAUAGCAAGAUACUCUCCUCCAUUUGUUUGCUAAUGCUAUUGUAAGUGGAGAUGUAAUGAGGAAUUAAAGAUGACCAUGAAAACCUUUUUGGUUGUUUUGAAACUAAAGCUUAGCUCCACUUUAUAAUAAAUAACACUAGUUGGUGAAUAAGGCAAUAGUAAAGUUCUAGUAGUUCCCCACUUCAACCCAGAUAAAAGUAAGCUGAGAUGCUGAAAGCAAACCUCAGUUACAUCAAGUAUAAUCAAACCCUUUAUUAGAUUGUUUCUCAGAGUAAUUAAAAAGUCUAACUCCUUCUUCCAUCUAAUAUAACAGUAGCUUUUAUAGUAUAGAGCUAUGUUUAUGGUUUAUUGAUUUAAACUCAUGGAGUAAGAAUUCACAGUACUGAAAGCAUGUAUAAAUAUAUGUAUCUCCUGGUAAUCCAAAUUCUGUGAUGAGUCAAAAUGAGCAAACUUCGUCCAAUAGAAACAAACUAACUUCAUAGACAUUGGUUUAUUUUAUCUGGAACCUUAUUUAUUUGCUUUUUUUCUCUCUCUCUCUCUCAAACAGUAGGUGCCUUUGUGUAAAGCAGUUUUCUUGGCUCUAUUAUCAACAUUCUAUAAUUGAUCUUAGUUAUCACUGUUUAGCAUAGCAUUAGCCUCAGGGCAUAUUUAGAUUUCCUUAUUCAAAGCACCAAUACAAAACCCCAAAACAACAAAAAUCAAAAGAAAGAAGGAGACCCAUUUUAAGUUGCUUAAUUAAUAAAGUAGCUAGACAGUCCUUUAAACUCUUUAACAAAGUGUGAUUUCCCAAAGUAUGAUAAAAAUGGAUUUAGGACCUCUAUAAUAAGUGAGUUUUUGGUGAUAUAAUUUAUAAAUAUAGUGUACCUUAUAUAUGUGUAAGUUAUAUAAUUUAGUGAUAUAAUUACACUGGCUUUGGAAGAAAAACAAGUCAUCUUUUGAUAGAUAAAAAUUACAUAGCUCUACAAUGAAGAAAAUGCUCAUAUGUUGAGUCUUAAAGCCAAUGCCUGCAGAACUCAAAAUGACAAGAUGUAAGCAUCCCUAAGUAUUUCACUUUUCAAAUGAAAUGACACCUAUAUGCAUAUGAUGCCCACACCACCGUUUAUUUCAUCCUGUGUAGCCUUGGGAGUUAGCAAGAACAUCAUACUACUUCAUGAGCUCUUGGGUACAAUCUUUUCAAGAUCAGUCUUACCAUUAGGUCUGUAUACUCGGCUAAUUUUGUGUCAUCAACAGUCUUGUUUGCUUUUUCUAGUAGGUCCUUUAGAAAGUUCUGUCAAAACAAAGAACACUUAGAUUAAUUUCAUUAAUAAUAUAUCAUCUACUUUCAUUUCAGAAUGCCUUGGAACAGGACAUACCAGGAAUGCCAAGAAAGUCUCUUUUUGAGGGUAGAAGCAGGUGAGUAGAGGGACUUAUAAUAGAAGAAAGACUAAACCAGGUGGUCCUCCUGGCAUUCCAGCAACGAAUCUACCUUUGACAGGAAAAUACCUGCUUUUUACUGAGACUUGAUUGGUCAUUGUCUGUGCAUUACCAUGAUUUUAUGAUUUCAGUUUAUCUGAAUAAACCCUUUUAAAACCAGCCAGCCCAAUGGAUGUAUUUCUUCUUGCUGAUAUCUUCACAAGUACUCAUGGGAUUGUUCUGCAAGAAACACAAGGGCCUUUAUACCUUUGGAAUAUGUGUGAAAAAAUAUCAGUAAACCUGAUAGAGAUCUAUUUCUAAUUUCAAAUCCAUUUUCUGCCCCCCAGGCUGUAUUUACACAUCAGUUUAUAGCCAGCAUGAUGCUUGUUUCUCCAGAGGGCCAGUUGGAUAGUUUUUGGCUUGAUGCAGUCCAAAGCGCUUUAGUUAAAAUGCUUCCACUGACUAUUUAAAUUAACAAAAUUGGCCACAGAUGAUGUCAUUGAAUCUUUGAAAGAUAUAUGAAUCAUAUUAAAAUAGAGAUUAAUGUGGGAAGAUGAAAAAAAGAUGAUUAUUAUCUUGACAGCUGGAGCUUAGGAGUGAAUUUAUUUUUUUUAACAGAAACGUAAAUCAAAUAAAAGCUUUACAAAGAUUUGCAAUAUAAGUGACAGUGUAAGCACUUAAGCAUAUAAUAGUCAUUCAUUUUGUUUAGUGCUAUUCAUUCGUAACUCCUUUAUUUUCUCAGAAAAUGAAUUAACGCAAUUAGGUAAAACUAGGCAGAUACUGUGCCCAGAUAUUAUUGAAGGAUUAGAUUUCUUCGAUUCAGCAAUGACUUAUCUCCCUCCUAAAUGUUCCAGUUCUGGGCUGAUUUGAUGUCACCUUUUUAAAGGAAAGAGACUCUUUUCUUAGUUUGACAAAUUUUUUUACAUCAAAUAUUCCACUUCAAAUCCAAAGUGAAGCAUGGAAAAUUCAAAGUUAUCUGUUGGGGUUGAAUUUUAUUUUUGAGCCUUAUGGGGCUUUUGUCAGAGAUUAAUUGGGUUAAAAAGCCUCAUCAGAGACUAAAAUGGUGGUCACAAAAAUAGCCUGGGAGAAACCUUGGCACGCAGAGAUUGAAAGUUGUGUCUGAGAGCAAGUGAUGUUUUACUCCAUUAUGGAUCUUAAAAUUAGCUUUCUUGAAAGAUCCAUUAAAAAAGAAUGCCAACUUAUCUUCAAAAUUCCCCAGGGAAGAGGACUUCUAUUUAGAAUCUCUUUCAGAGAAUAAAAUUUAGAACAAAGAAGGAGACUUUUAGAAUAUUUAGAGGUCAGUAUUGGAAAUGAGCUAAGGUUUUCAUUAUUAACUAAAAAGGAUCUUUAAAAGAAUAUUUUUGGUCUAAUAAAAUAAAAACACAGUAGCUUAACUGUCACCUUGUGGGUUGUUGAGCUGCAAGUUUGUAAAAUACAUUGUUUUUAGUGACUUCACAUUAAAAACGUUUACAUUUUCAAGAGGAUACAACUGAAUAUGGUUUAGCCAUUUUGCCAUGGCCCAAAUGUCCCAGUUUCAUCUUUAAAAUUGUAUGCUACUCAAACCAUGUUGAACUAUGACUAGAACUGUUUGAUAUUCAUAUUUCCCCACAUAGCAAAAAAGCAGCUCUUAAUAAAUGAAGUCUGAAAGCAUGUAGUGCUGUGGGGGGUGGGAGGGAAUCAUUCUUAGCAUUACCAGAUAUUCUAGGUCCAAAUCUAGGUUCUGUUCCUAGGCAGCUGUGUAAUCUUGAAAAAUCAUCAAAUCUGUCUGCAUUCCAAUCUCACUGUUUUUAUAUUAGGAGUGAUAAUACCUGCCUUGCAUAUUUUUCUGUGAGGAUUAAAUUUUAAAAUACAUUCCAAGCACCUUGUACUCUGCCUGGCACAUAGCAAAUAUUAACUCACUUAUAUUUUAGUCACUCUGUGUUCUAAAAAUAGAAAAAGUAGGGUCUUUAAGAUGGAGAUGUUUUGGAGUCGGUUUGAGGAAAUGAGAAGAAUACUUCCAUAUUCCUGAAAGGCUAGUAAAUUGAGUUCAUGAAUACUACAAUUUAUACGUUGCAUGUCACAAAAGCUUUCAUGUGCAGAAUCUUACUGGAGCUUCACAAUAAGCAUGAGAGGAAGGAUUUAUUACCCUCAUUUUAAAGAUUAAAGAAAAUUGGAAAGAUGUAGUAAUUAAUGAGGUAAGACUUGAUUUCAGAUCUCUGUCUUUUCCUUUAUAUCCUCCUCUGUGAUAUCUGAAGUGAUAAAUUCAUUUUCUAAGUUGCAGUUUUUCAAAAGUUUAAUUAUAGAAGAAUUUUUAUUUUUUAUCAUUGUUGAGAGACAGUAGGUUGUAUAGAAUGUUUACAGGCCUUGGAGGCAGACAAGCCUGGAUUUGCACAUCAAGGCUCUGUCUGAUUUCUGUGUGGCCUUCAGUAUAUCACUUAACUUCUCUCAACUCUUCCUCACUGGGGUAAUACAAUCUCAUACAACUUAUGCAUUAUGAUUAAAUAAGACAUUAUGUGUAAAGUAGUUAGCAUACAGUAGCUAUUCAGUAACUUUUCUUUCUUUUGUAAGGAAAUUUAUUUAUAUGUGUUUAUUUUGAUAACUAAAACUACAAAUUUCAAUACAAUGAAUGGAUUUUUCGGCUUAUCUAUAAUUCUAUCUGUCUGUCUGUCUUAUAUUUGUGUAUGCCAUAGAAAAUGUUAAUUUCUUGCAUUACUUUACAGAAUUUCAAGAAGCAAUUGAAGUUGCUUUUUUGAUCUGGUACUUCAUUAACAAUGUCGAAGAGUAGGUGAAAAUGUGACACUGUUCAACAUUAGUUUCUUUUGUGGGAGGUUUUUUAAAAAGCUAGGAAACUCUUAGUUCAUAAUUGCAUUUGAAAGGAAAAACUUAGCACAAGUUUUUAUUUGCUUACCUUAAGCUCCUCAGUUUCUAUGAAGCCACUGUGGUCAGUAUCAUAUUUUCUCCAUGUCUGCAAGUAAUUUUGGGUAAGGAAAACAAACACAUUGUUAAUAAAAGGAACAAUUUCCUACUUUAAGCAGCUUUCUUAAAGGGGCGGCUUUCUUAUACCUUCAUGAAUUCUUCACAGGACUUCAGCUGCUGGCAUCGGAAGAGCAGCAGGAAAUUCUCUUCUGUGGGUAAUAUGUGAGCCAACUGGAAAAGAUGUAAAAAGAGAGAAACAUGUUAAAAAAGGAUUCCAUAUCCCAUUUUAUGACUAAUCUAUUGCGUGCGGAGAAGGAAGAGCUGGAUUGAUGGCCCCACUGCAGAUGUGAGAUCUAUUUCUGGCACAGUAGCUAAUUAGCUGUGGUCCCCAGCAACCCCGAGCCAUUUCUGGACUUCAGUACCCUCAUCACUAAAACAAGGACUUGAAAUAGAAGCCAGUGUUUCUUGAAUAUAUUGGGUUCAAAACGCCUUCUGUUGGAAGCACUGCAUUUUCACCAUUAAAGAAAGAAUCUACGCA